rnacentral:rRNA from 1 species
GACAGAGGUGCCAAGCGUUAGGCGGAAUCACUGGGCUUAAAGCGUGUGUAGGCGGGCGCCUAAGUACCUUGUGAAAUCCCCCGGCUCAACCGGGGAACUGCUGGGUAUACUGGGUGCCUUGGGUCAUCUAGGGGCUGCCGGAACAAAUGGUGGAGCGGUGAAAUGCGUAGAUAUCAUUUGGAACGCCAACGGCGAAAGCAGGCAGCUGGGGAUGCACCGACGCUGAGACACGAAAGCCAGGGGAGCGAACGGG